GCUGUUCAUCACUCUACACAUUUCGGUUUCUUCUGUUCUCCUUCGAUUAACAUAAGAAAAAAAUUCGUAUUUGUUUUCCUUUUUUUCCCGUGCUGAUUGAAGAAGUCCGUUAUAUAUUUCUUGAAGCUCUUCGUCGGAGUUGCACAAGGUUUGUGUCCCUUCGAUUUUACAGAUUACAUAAUUUUUUUAUUUUGCUUUUUUGGGAAAAAAAAUCUAACUCCGCUCCAACUUUUUUGUAUUGUACAAAUGUUGAAAGGAGUUGUUGCAUACGAAUUGUCGACUGGUGGAUGGGGCUUGCUCAAUCGGAUAGCUUAUGACUCGGCUUAGAUGACAAGCUUGAACGCCUUCUUCCUAAAAUAUGUUUGCAUUAUCAGGUUAGUUAAUACAUGUUAUGAUGUGCGUCCAUAUUAUUACUUGUUCACCCAUCAAUUUUGUGCAUGUUUCUGGCAUUUAUAUGCUAAUUUAUGGCAGAGAUCCUCCGCUUUGAUGUUUUUAGUAAAAAGAGUAAUUGAAAAAUAAGUAUGUUUAAGAAUGCUUCAAGAGAGAGUAAUUUACAUUUUGUCUUGAAUGUUGUUUACUUUCUAAUUCUCUUCUUGCUUUAUUUAGUUUAUGUUUGAGGUUUUCAUAUGUAGAGAAGAUGGUGGUUUAUGUCUUUUGAGAAUAGAUGGUGGUUGAAUUGAUACUUUAAGUUUUUUAAUUGGAUCCAAAAGAAAAGUGAUAGAGUUGUCUUUGAAUUCCUUGCAGUCAUGCACUUUUUCUAUAUAAAUAGGUUUUUGAAUUCAUUUAAACAUAAAUUAUAAUGCAAAAUUUUCAUUCUUUAAAUGUGUAGAUGGGCUCUUUGUGUGAAAUUUGAGUUGAUUU
rnacentral:lncRNA from 1 species